rnacentral:lncRNA from 1 species
AGGAGCCAGGACUGGGGAUCAACUGUCAGUGUUUCUACAAGAUUGUGAGCCUCAGAAGUACAGAUAUUUUCUCUUGCUUUGCUCAUGACAUGUCUCGAGGACACAGAAGAGUCCCUGGUAUCGUAAGUGACUGGAUGACUAUGUGACCAGAAUAAUCAGGAUUAUUGUGUCAAACACAGUGCGGUCUCCCUUGCUGUUUAAUUUGCUCUUUCCAGUGGCCCUGUCAUGUGCUCAUUGUUUUAUGAACUGUGCCACAGAAACAAAGUGGAGGAGGACACAGAGAUGGUGACUGUCAAUCCCUCCCAGUUUGUCUGACCGUAGCUCUCAUAUGGAUAGGAUGAAGUCAGGGAGAAGGAGAGAGUGAGAUGUGAAGGCCUCCAGCCUCUGAGAAUUGAAGAACAGCACAAGCUGACAAGGAAUGGGGACACUGACAAAGAGUGGGGACACUGACAAGGAUUGGGGAACACUGACAAGGAUUGAGGACACUGACAGGAGUGGGGACACUGAUAGGAGUGGGGACACUGACAAGGCCUGGGGACACUGACAGGAGUGGGGACACUGACAAGGAGUGGGGACACUGACAAGGAUUGGGGACACUGACAAGGAGUGGGGACACUGACAAGGAUUGGGGACACUGACAAGGAUUGGGGACACCGACAGGAGUGGGGACACUGACAAGGAUUGGGGACACUGACAGGAGUGGGGACACUGACAAGGAUUGGGGACACUGACAAGGAUUGGAGACACUGACAAGGCCUGGGGACACUGACAGGAGUGGGGACACUGACAAGGAUUGGGGACACUGACAAGGAUUGGGGACACUGACAAGGAGUGGGGACACUGACAAGGAGUGGGGACACUGACAGGAGUGGGGACACUGACAAGGAGUGGGGACACUGACAAGGAGUGGGGACUCUGACAAGGAGUGGGGACACUGACAGGAGUGGGGACACUGACAGGAGUGGGGACACUGACAGGAGUGGGGACACUGACAAGGAUUGGGGACACUGACAAGGAUUGGGGACUCUGACAAAGAGUGGGGACACUGACAGGAGUGGGGACACUGACAAGGACUGGGGACACUGACAAGGAGUGAGGACACUGACAGGAGUGGGGACACUGAGA